rnacentral:pre_miRNA from 1 species
CGAGACUUUCAAUUCCGUAGUGCAUUGCAGUGUUUUUAAACUACAACUGCAUGCUCUGCGGACUUGGCAGAUUUGAA